AUCACACGUGCUAGGAGCGACUGUAUUCUAGUCACUGCCUGAGAGGUUCCUACAAUAUAGGAUCCGCUCAGCGUAUAUCUCCUAUAUAAGAUUAUUCUCCUGAUUGACCCAUCAAGGAUGGAUAGAGAUGGGGACAAGAUGGCAGAGAGUAUAAUAAAUCUCACCCUAGAGAUCCUCCUCCGGCUUACUGGAGAGGAAUACACAGUAGUGAAGAAGACCUCUAGUGAGCGCUGUCAGGCCCCGGUAUCUGAAGGACGGGGAGGAAUCCUGAG